GAAACAUCUUCGGGUUGUGAGGUUAAGCGACUAAGCGUACACGGUGGAUGCCCUGGCAGUCAGAGGCGAUGAAGGACGUGCUAAUCUGCGAUAAGCGUCGGUAAGGUGAUAUGAACCGUUAUAACCGGCGAUUUCCGAAUGGGGAAACCCAGUGUGAUUCGUCACACUAUCAUUAACUGAAUCCAUAGGUUAAUGAGGCGAACCGGGGGAACUGAAACAUCUAAGUACCCCGAGGAAAAGAAAUCAACCGAGAUUCCCCCAGUAGCGGCGAGCGAACGGGGAGCAGCCCAGAGCCUGAAUCAGUGUGUGUGUUAGUGGAAGCGUCUGGAAAGGCGCGCGAUACAGGGUGACAGCCCCGUACACAAAAAUGCACAUGCUGUGAGCUCGAUGAGUAGGGCGGGACACGUGGUAUCCUGUCUGAAUAUGGGGGGACCAUCCUCCAAGGCUAAAUACUCCUGACUGACCGAUAGUGAACCAGUACCGUGAGGGAAAGGCGAAAAGAACCCCGGCGAGGGGAGUGAAAAAGAACCUGAAACCGUGUACGUACAAGCAGUGGGAGCACGCUUAGGCGUGUGACUGCGUACCUUUUGUAUAAUGGGUCAGCGACUUAUAUUCUGUAGCAAGGUUAACCGAAUAGGGGAGCCGAAGGGAAACCGAGUCUUAACUGGGCGUUAAGUUGCAGGGUAUAGACCCGAAACCCGGUGAUCUAGCCAUGGGCAGGUUGAAGGUUGGGUAACACUAACUGGAGGACCGAACCGACUAAUGUUGAAAAAUUAGCGGAUGACUUGUGGCUGGGGGUGAAAGGCCAAUCAAACCGGGAGAUAGCUGGUUCUCCCCGAAAGCUAUUUAGGUAGCGCCUCGUGAAUUCAUCUCCGGGGGUAGAGCACUGUUUCGGCAAGGGGGUCAUCCCGACUUACCAACCCGAUGCAAACUGCGAAUACCGGAGAAUGUUAUCACGGGAGACACACGGCGGGUGCUAACGUCCGUCGUGAAGAGGGAAACAACCCAGACCGCCAGCUAAGGUCCCAAAGUCAUGGUUAAGUGGGAAACGAUGUGGGAAGGCCCAGACAGCCAGGAUGUUGGCUUAGAAGCAGCCAUCAUUUAAAGAAAGCGUAAUAGCUCACUGGUCGAGUCGGCCUGCGCGGAAGAUGUAACGGGGCUAAACCAUGCACCGAAGCUGCGGCAGCGACGCUGAUGCGUUGUUGGGUAGGGGAGCGUUCUGUAAGCCUGUGAAGGUGUGCUGUGAGGCAUGCUGGAGGUAUCAGAAGUGCGAAUGCUGACAUAAGUAACGAUAAAGCGGGUGAAAAGCCCGCUCGCCGGAAGACCAAGGGUUCCUGUCCAACGUUAAUCGGGGCAGGGUGAGUCGACCCCUAAGGCGAGGCCGAAAGGCGUAGUCGAUGGGAAACAGGUUAAUAUUCCUGUACUUGGUGUUACUGCGAAGGGGGGACGGAGAAGGCUAUGUUGGCCGGGCGACGGUUGUCCCGGUUUAAGCGUGUAGGCUGGUUUUCCAGGCAAAUCCGGAAAAUCAAGGCUGAGGCGUGAUGACGAGGCACUACGGUGCUGAAGCAACAAAUGCCCUGCUUCCAGGAAAAGCCUCUAAGCAUCAGGUAACAUCAAAUCGUACCCCAAACCGACACAGGUGGUCAGGUAGAGAAUACCAAGGCGCUUGAGAGAACUCGGGUGAAGGAACUAGGCAAAAUGGUGCCGUAACUUCGGGAGAAGGCACGCUGAUAUGUAGGUGAAGCGACUUGCUCGUGGAGCUGAAAUCAGUCGAAGAUACCAGCUGGCUGCAACUGUUUAUUAAAAACACAGCACUGUGCAAACACGAAAGUGGACGUAUACGGUGUGACGCCUGCCCGGUGCCGGAAGGUUAAUUGAUGGGGUCAGCGCAAGCGAAGCUCUUGAUCGAAGCCCCGGUAAACGGCGGCCGUAACUAUAACGGUCCUAAGGUAGCGAAAUUCCUUGUCGGGUAAGUUCCGACCUGCACGAAUGGCGUAAUGAUGGCCAGGCUGUCUCCACCCGAGACUCAGUGAAAUUGAACUCGCUGUGAAGAUGCAGUGUACCCGCGGCAAGACGGAAAGACCCCGUGAACCUUUACUAUAGCUUGACACUGAACAUUGAGCCUUGAUGUGUAGGAUAGGUGGGAGGCUUUGAAGUGUGGACGCCAGUCUGCAUGGAGCCGACCUUGAAAUACCACCCUUUAAUGUUUGAUGUUCUAACGUUGACCCGUAAUCCGGGUUGCGGACAGUGUCUGGUGGGUAGUUUGACUGGGGCGGUCUCCUCCUAAAGAGUAACGGAGGAGCACGAAGGUUGGCUAAUCCUGGUCGGACAUCAGGAGGUUAGUGCAAUGGCAUAAGCCAGCUUGACUGCGAGCGUGACGGCGCGAGCAGGUGCGAAAGCAGGUCAUAGUGAUCCGGUGGUUCUGAAUGGAAGGGCCAUCGCUCAACGGAUAAAAGGUACUCCGGGGAUAACAGGCUGAUACCGCCCAAGAGUUCAUAUCGACGGCGGUGUUUGGCACCUCGAUGUCGGCUCAUCACAUCCUGGGGCUGAAGUAGGUCCCAAGGGUAUGGCUGUUCGCCAUUUAAAGUGGUACGCGAGCUGGGUUUAGAACGUCGUGAGACAGUUCGGUCCCUAUCUGCCGUGGGCGCUGGAGAACUGAGGGGGGCUGCUCCUAGUACGAGAGGACCGGAGUGGACGCAUCACUGGUGUUCGGGUUGUCAUGCCAAUGGCACUGCCCGGUAGCUAAAUGCGGAAGAGAUAAGUGCUGAAAGCAUCUAAGCACGAAACUUGCCCCGAGAUGAGUUCUCCCUGACUCCUUGAGAGUCCUGAAGGAACGUUGAAGACGACGACGUUGAUAGGCCGGGUGUGUAAGCGCAGCGAUGCGUUGAGCUAACCGGUACUAAUGAACCGUGAGGCUUAACCUU
rnacentral:rRNA from 1 species